GAGGGCAUAGCUCAGUGGUAGAGUGUGUGCUUAGCAUGCAUGAGGUCCCUGGUUCAAUCCCCAGUACCUCUA
rnacentral:tRNA from 1 species